CUUCUUGUUGGAUAUAAUCAUCUCCUUCUCCUUUUCUCUCUUCCUACUCUAUCCCUUGGUUCUCUUGGCUUGAUCAUUGCCAUUGAAUAAGUUUGGUCUCUUUUUCAUCCCUCAUGAUGAACUUAUCAAGAGCCAAUGAUCUUUCCUCUUUAGUAAGUCAAUUCGAUAGCUGCAUAUUCUUAAUCCUUUUUGGUAAGGCAAGCAAACUUACGAAGAAAAAUGGUGAAGUUCUAAUAGUCGGCC
rnacentral:lncRNA from 1 species